rnacentral:lncRNA from 1 species
GCUAUAUAGUGCACUGUGUUUGACCAAGGUCCACAGUUAAUUGUAGUGCACAAUUUAGUGUUCUAAUCACACAGCGCUUCAGGAACCACUGUAGAACGAUCACACCCCGUGUGACAGGCAGACAGGUUAGGGUUAGGAGGUGUUACUAGACAGACAGACAGUCAGGUUAGGAGGUGUCACUAGACAGACAGACAGACAGAUAGACAGACAGACAGGUUAGAGUUAGGAGGUGUUACUAGACAGACAGACAGACAGGUUAGGGUUAGGAGGUGUUACUGUACAGACAGACAGACAGACAGACAGACAGACAGGUUAGGGUUAGGAGGUGUUACUAGACAGACAGACAGACAGGUUAGGGUUAGGAGGUGUUACUAUACAGACAGACAGACAGACAGAGACAGACAGACAGGUUAGGGUUAGGAGGUGUUACUAUACAGACAGACAGACAGGUUAGGGUUAGGAGGUGUUACUAGACAGACAGACAGACAGACAGGUUAGGAGGUGUUACUGGACAGACAGACAGACAGGUUAGGGUUAGGAGGUGUUACUAGACAGACAGACAGGUUAGGGGUUAGGAGGAAAAAAAUGCAUGGCUGCACGCUGAAACUAAUCGUCGGAUUACUGUCGAUUUCUAGAAAGUGUUUUACCUAAUUAUUUCGAUCAAUGGUGAGCUCACCCCGU